GCGGGAGUGGCGGAAUUGGCAGACGCGCCAGACUUAGGAUCUGGUGUCUUCGGACGUGGGGGUUCAAGUCCCCCCUCCCGCA
rnacentral:tRNA from 1 species